GCAGCAAUAGCUCAGUGGUACAGCCCCCCUUUGGCAUACGGGGAGACCCGAGUUCGAUUCCCGGCUGUUUCC
rnacentral:tRNA from 1 species